AUGAACGCUGGCGGCGUGCUUAACACAUGCAAGUCGAACGAACCCAAUCUUCGGAACGGGUUAGUGGCAGACGGGUGCGUAACACGUAGGUGACCUGCCCUGGAGUGGGGAAUAACUUCGCUAACGCGAGGCUAAUACCGCAUAUGCCCGGUGAUUCAUUUCGCCGAGUAAAGUCGCAAGACGCUACAGGAUGGGCCUGCGGCGGAUUAGGUAGUUGGUGGGGUAAUGGCCUACCAAGCCGAUGAUCCGUAGGGGGCGUGAGAGCGUGGCCCCCCACACUGGCACUGAGAUACGGGCCAGACUCCUACGGGAGGCAGCAGUGAGGAAUAUUGCACAAUGGGCGAAAGCCUGAUGCAGCAACGCCGCGUGAGGGACGAAGGCCUUCGGGUUGUAAACCUCUUUUCUGGGGGAAGAGACAAGGACGGUACCCCAGGAAUAAGUCUCGGCUAACUACGU
rnacentral:rRNA from 1 species